CCCUACGGGGCUCAGCAGGCGCGAAAACUUUACAAUGCGGGAAACCGUGAUAAGGGACUCCGAGGCCCGUAAAUCGGGCUGUCCAUCUGUUUAAUAACAGGUGAAGAAAGGGCCGGGCAAGACCGGUGCCAGCCGCCGCGGUAAUACCGGCGGCUCGAGUGGUGGCCACUAUUACUGGGCUUAAAGCGUUCGUAGCUGGUCUGUUAAGUCUCUGGGGAAAUCUACUGGCUUAACCAAUAGGCGUUUCAGGGAUACUGGCAGACUAGGGACCGGGAGAGGUGAGAGGUACUCCAGGGGUAGGAGUGAAUCCCUGUAAU
rnacentral:rRNA from 1 species